AACCUUUCAAACCUUUGAACUUUCUGAAAAAGCAACCUUUCUGCUUUCAACCCCAUUUCCGCCACUUGAACCACCAUGCCGACAUCCUCUCCGGUCGAAAACAGGACCACCGUUCAAGCUUUGUCCUCUAGCACUUCAACCCACAGCGGAUAAAUGAAAUGAGAAUGGUUUUUGUUUUUUUACAGUGACAUCAACGUACAUGUAUAUCCAUGUAAAGAAAAUGGAGACUGGCAAAAAAUCAAACAACAUCCUUGAGCCUCUGAAACAACAAGUCGUCGCCAUUGCUUGAGACCUUUCAGGUAAUUAUUAUUUUUUUAAUUCCGAUGUUAAUUUUUGAGUUACUUAUUGGGAAGUGCUGAUAAUUUUUUUUUGCCUAUUUUUAAUUAUCUAAUAACUUAAAGUUCCAUUGAUUUGUUAACCUAAAUUUUCUUUAUCUUGAACUUUUAAUUGAUUAGAAUAGGUAACUUUUUUUGUUUUUAAUUUAUUUUCACCUCAGAAAUUUACUAUAUUUUGAUGCAGUGUCGAACAAUAAAUCAAUAAUUCUUUUGGCUGAAGUAAAAUCUGUACAAAAUUUAACCAUUUUUAUUGAUGCGAUGGGCUGGAAAAGAGAGGAUUUUCUUACAAAGUGAAAGGGCUUGGAAGGUUCUUUUUCUAAGAUUUUAUGAAAUUUUAAUUUUUUUACAUAAUUACUCAUUAUAUAUUUUGAUCACUAUUUUUAGUUUCUUUUCAAUCUAUAAAUAAGAGGACAAUGGACUUCAAUAUACUCAAACUCACAUCAUCCUGCAUUGACAACAAUAGUCACACCAAUUAAGUUAAAACUUAAGACCAAUUUAACAUUGAUGAAAGUAUUGUUAAACAAAAUACUUUUAAGCUUUUCAAAAGUACUUUUGGGAUAAAAUUAGCCCAAAAACACUUUCAAGAAGUAAGAUUGAGCUAAACCUCAAUCAACAUACAUAAUUAUAGUUUUAAAAAUAUUUUUAAUAAUUUAAAAAAAUUAAAAUAGCAAAAUUUCUGAAAUUUUUAAAGAACUUUUUGAUAUUUCAAUAUUUUUAUAAUUUUUGAAUUUUAACCUAACUCAAUUUUUUUUAAUUUUUUAAGACUACGAUUUUAUUAAUUUUCACAUAAUUAUAAUUUUAAAUUUUUAUAGAAAUUUUUUUAUUUUUAAAGAAUUUUUUUGCUAAUCAUUUUUUUGCUUGCAUUAAAAUAAAAUAUAAUCAUCAAAUUAUAUUAUUUAACAUAAUUAAUAAUUAAUAAUUUUAUAUUUGUAUAUAAACAACCAGUACCAAAGUUAUCAGCACUGUAUCGAUUGUUAUACCAAUUUUAAUAGGUACUGCUAUAUACAAAUAUUUGUUUUUAGAUUUAUUAGUGUUUUUAAUUUUUUUCCUAUACUUAUAGCCUAAUUUUUAGUUUUUUUUAAACAAAAUAUACAUUAAAUACAAGCAAAUAUAUCUCAUUUACAUAUCUAAAAAAAUGUUUAUAUAAAAACAUAAAAUUUAAAAUUAUUAAGUAAGUUAAAUAAUUUAAUUUUAAUGAUUAUAUUUUAUUCUUAAUGUAACUAGAAAAUAAAAAUAAUUAAGAGAAAUAUAGAAAUCUUGUACUAGUUGUUCAUAUACGAAAUUUUUAUAUUUUUAAACUAAUUUUUAAUAUUUUCAAUUUUUGUAACUUCAAUAAAAAAUAAAUAUAAUCAUUAAAUUAAGUUAUUUAACUCAAUUAUUAAUUAUUAAUUUUAUGUUUGUAUAUAAAUAUAUUUUACAUAUGUAAUUGAGAUCCAUUGCAUUUAUAUUAAUAUAUAUUUUAGAAUAAAAGAUCAUUCCUAUUUAAUUACUCAAAAAUCUAUUUUUAAUUUAUCGUUAAUCAAAUUGUUCACUUCACCCCUUUUUCUAAAUUUUUUUAAAAAUGUGUAUAUAUAUUCUCCCCUACUGAUUUAGUUUUUCCUGAAAUGAACUGAAAAAUCUCAAAAUCAUAAGCCAAUGUUCAAAGUUUUCUUAGUCCAAUCUCGGUGGUUGACUAUCCAACCGUAUUGAGAAAUCAAUCGUAACACCAUUCAAGGAAACUCCUCACCGUUGGGAUCUUACAGUACAUGCUCUGAGUUUCAAGAAUCAAGGAAAACCCUAAACCUAUUUACCCUCUCUCUCUCUCUCUUUUGUUUUUCGUUUUUUCUUCUUCGAUUUUCUAAUUUUCUCCUUAUUUUACAAGUUGUGCUAAAAUCCAGUUGCAGGGUUUUUGGGUUCGUGAGUUGUUAUUGAUUUGAGUUUGGGGUAUUGUGGAUUUGGUUUAGGUUAGGAUUUGGCAAGGAUCGACGCAAAGAGUUCAGCAACAACUAGGUCAAGUAAGGAAGAAGAUGAGGAAAAAGAUAAGAAAGAAAAAAGUGAACGAAAAAAAAGAAAAACUAAAAAGGAAGUGGAAAAUAUGUGAAAAUGUAUGGUCACAUUUAACAACGGAGUGGUGAGUUUGACAAUAAAAAGUUUUAAAAAAAUAAAAUGGGAUACAUGAUAUUUUUUAAAAUUUCACGAGUUAAAAAUCUCCCCUAUUAACGUACUAGAUAAAUGUUUCUUUUUAAUAAAAUCCUGUGGAA
rnacentral:lncRNA from 1 species